UGAUGGAUAUACUAGAGACAUUUUACACUGCAAUAUCUAUUUAACGAUUGUAAUUUUGAGGAAAGAAACAUAAUUUUGUUAAAUCUAUAUUUGUCAUAUAAAUACUUUUUAUUUUUAUUUUUAUUUUUAUUCGGUGUUUUUUUAAAAAAAUCGUUAAAGGGAAGCGCAUCGUUUUCCUCCGUAUAUGACGUUCUUGAUUGUUUAGAGACCAUACUUCCCAAUUGAAGUGAAGUCCAACUACAAACUCUGUAAUUUCAAUUGUUGUGCUGCAAAUCAAAUUGAAUUCUAAGGAAUGUUUCCGAUUUUCGAAAAUCUCUGCUACUUCAAAAAUAUGUCUCCCAAAAUACGUUGCAAACUGCAGAGGAGCUGCAAUUAGGGUUCAUCAACGACUUCCCCAAUCAAUUUCGAUGAAAUUUUCUGCUUUCAUGAAGAUUUUGGGACACUGAUUUCCGAAAAUUUGUUUGAUUUGAAAAUGGGUGAAGGAUAUUAAGUUUGAUGAUGAAGUUAAUCUUGUUUUCGGCAUUGCCUACGCCAUGAGAAACGAUAGUUGCUGCCAUUAGUAAUUCUUCGGGGAAGGAAAAGCUAAAGAUUGACGUGCGAGGGUUUUAUAUUGAGUGAGAGCACUCCGAGAAAGGGGAAAUCUUUCGGUAAAGCUUGCACGUUUGAGAGUAAAGGAAGGGCAUGUGAGAUAAAAAAUAGUAGAGGGCCGAAAAAAUUGAAUGGUGCUAACAUUUUGUGUUGGAGAUGCGGUAAGAAGGGGCACGUGAGAAUGAAUUGCUCGAAAAUCAAAAAUUGGAAAGGCAGGACCCAAAGGAGAGUGUGGACUGUGGAGAGCUUUGAAGAUAUGAUUCUUCAGCGAACUCGACAUCGCAGUUUGAUGAUGCUUUGCGUGUAUGCUAGGAUUGCUCCAUGGAGUCUUGAAUUCUUGAUUUCGGAUCAUCUGUUCAUUCCACUCUAUCCAAGGAGUUGUUUUGGAGUUUUAAUUCCAUAAAUCUUGGGAGAAGUCCAAAGAGCGCCGACUAACUAAGGAGCUUGAAUAUGAUUUCCCGAUCGCAAUCCCUGCCUCUUUGGUUGGAAUUCGAGGUUGAGGACCCCAGAUCUCUUGUGAGAAAAAAAGUCAUGGGGAGUCGUGAUAUGAGUGUGAAACUCACGAAUGAUAACUUGUUGGAGUUCCCACUUAACAAGAUGGGGCUUCUUCUCAUUCGUAGAUGGAUGUCAAGUAAAUUCUAAAGUGGAAAAAGAACUUGAUAUUUGUUAGUCAACUCGACAAGAAGGGCAACAAGGUUGUUAUCGCCGGUGGUUCUUGGAAGAGUGUCAAGGGAGCUUUAGUGGAGGCUCAUGGAGUCAUGUAGCAAUGAGGGGAGCAUUAUACACCAUGGAAACUCCAAGUAGGGUCAAAAAGGAAUAUGUUGCUUCAAAUAAGCCGUCAUUUGCAGAAAUGAGCAAGUAAAGGAAGAGAAGCAUUUAGAUCGUGAGUGAUGUUGAAAAGAAGACACAUAAGGAUGUUGGGUGAAAGAAUAGCUAGAAAGUGACUUGUUUGAGUGGGAGCAUUGUAAGGAAGUGAAAAUGCCAAAGUCUUGCAGUGUAUCACAAAGGGUACCAGAUUCAGGUGGGGUUUUUUUGAGGGUGCUCAAAGAAAAACUGAUGUUGAUGAUUUGAGUUUGGAUGAGACCCAGUUUUACUUCCUUGUUGAUUAGAAAGUGCAUGCCUCCUUGAUUGAGAUGGUGUAUGGGAGUUGCUUCAUCAGAUGAGAGGAAAUAUUGGUGUGUUGUUUACCUCCUUGGUGUGUAGGAGAUGGGUUAGUUCUUCCUUGGUGUAGAGGAAGGUGCUAUUGCUUCUUUUGUGGAAAGAAGUGGUUGGGUGUUUUCUUGUUGGUAAGGAAAUGGGUUCUACGUUGUGGUGAUCAAUGGAGGACCCUGUGAGGUACAUUGAAAGUGUUCUCUCACAUUUUAACCUGAUCUCCUUGUGGGAGGGAGAGAUUGCUAGGGUUUGAGAGUGUUGAGAUUGGUUUAAGGCAAGAGGAGGCAUAAGGUGGAGGCAUGUUCGCGCUCGACUGAAGUUGGUCGACUGCGAUGGAACAUAUUUUGGUGAAGCUUGGAGGCAGAGUCGUUGUCGCUUCCGCACACCCACGCAUUGGCGCGUCCGCACGUGGGGUUCUGCUGGACCAAAAUGCUCUACGUUGCGGGAUUUAAUCAAUUGAUUCCUUUUCUCUUUGCUUGGUAUAUAAUCAUACUAUAUCUGUUUUUAGGUUCUUGUUGUUGAUUAAAGAGAGAGAAAGUCUCAAUUGAAUACUCAUAUACGUGGGUAAAUGAGGGAGAGUUGUGAGGUGAAGCUUGAUAAUCUCUUUGUAAAACCAUUAACAUUACUACUAGUGAUUUGGUGUGUUAUCUCCUUGUCACUCGGGUUUUCACGUUAAACUUUUCUUGUCUUUGUUUAUGCUUGGUUUUCGUGCUUAAUCAUUCUUCAAUGUUGUUAAUCGAUGUUAUCACAAAUUAGUUUGCACAUCUCUUAUGUUAAAAAUGAAAUGUUCCACAAUAUUGAGUAGACCAAAGUGGUUGCACAACCUCUUUGCAAAUUAGUGAAUAAUAUGUUUCUAAUGUAUAAGCUAUAGUAAAUUAAUCGGUUCGAAUAUUAAUAUACGGCUGUGAGCCUUAGAAAAAUUUGGAGACUAUAUUGAUUUUCAUAAAAUAUCAAUAUUUCGUGAUUGGAAGAAUGCCAACAGGGUGACAAAAUUUGUUGAAGGCUCUCAAGUCUCAACGAUAUAUUGAUAUUAACACUAUUUAUUUACUACCUAUAAAACAUCCAAAACACAACUCAGCCUACUUAAAUCAUCUGUGCAAUCCAAUUUUAGAAUUUUUUUUAAGGAAACUCAUAAUUCCAGUGUAACAUAUAUAAGGUCAAACUAGUCUUUGUUAUGCUUGCCCAUUACCUAUUUGCAUCCCUCUUUACAAGUUGCUAUUCUUUUAAAUGAUAGGAAUAAAUAGUCGUGUCGUCAUUCCUUUAGGUUUCUUUCCAAGCACUGAUGAGUGAUGACUGAUGAUUCAUAAUAGUUGUCACUCUUGAAAUGGUUUUUCAUUUUAUUUUGGAAAUGACUCCCUUAAUAUCAUCCCUUGACUUCAAUGGAUGUCUUGUUUGACUUUACACAUAUUUUGAAGUAUUCUUGUGAAUAAAAGGGCCAUAUCAUUAGUCGUUGGUAUCUGUAGGCUAAUGAAGUACGGAGUAUGUUGCAGCGGAGUGAAGGCAAUAGAUCGAAUAUAUUUUGUCUUUAUACAUCCUCAUUGCGUGAGAGAGGACUUAAAGUCGUUCUACUCUGUCCGUUGGGAUCAACUUCAUUACACGUAACCCUUUUUUCUAUAGGCCGGAUGCCUACUUCCCUACAGUUUACAAAGAAAAGCAAUGAUAGAACAAUAACAUCGUAGACUUUUAGAUCCGAUGGCUUCGGAAUGUUCACCUCUACCGUUUGAGCUUUGAUUACUGGUAUAAAAUUGAAAUAAUGGGAUGAACUCAACAACCAUCAGGCCAGGAAAAUAGUUUAAUCAUUGUGUUGUUUUCUAAUUUAUCAUAGAAUUAUUGGGUAUUCAAUUAUGACUUCUAUGAGUAUUUUUCUUCUAAGGUAGCAUCAGUAAACAAAAUAGGUGGUGUGGUGUCUAUUCACUUCAAAAUGUGUGUCAAGUCGAACAAAACAUUCUUUGUUGGUUUGAGGUAUUAGGAGAUGUGUUACGGGCCAAAGAUCAAUGGAUCUAGGCACCCUCUUCUUUGACGAUGGUCAUGACUCAUGGGCCAAAUGCUAUUCUCUUCCACUUUUGGUUUUACCCCAUCCUGUUCUACAAUGGUGACCCAUGGGGUGACUUGAGACUUGAGAGCAAAGCAACACAGCUAUAGCAUUGUAUUCCGGAGGUUGUGAUCGAAUAAAAACCCAAUUAAAAAACAGGUCUAGUAGGUUACAUGUGUCAUCUUUUCCAAUUACAAUUAUUUCUUGCUAAACUAUUUCUAUGCUGAAUUUCUGAAAGAAUUGUGUAUAAGAUAUUUAGAAAGACUAUUGAAAGUUUUUAAGAUUAUUCUAAAACAUCUUACUAAAAUGCAUGCUCUCAUUGAUGGAAAUUGCAAAAUUCUUGGACAUUUUAAUGUGUGUGAAGAUUCUCAAAUAUUCAACUUCAAGGUUAGUUUCCUUUCUUUCUUUUUAAUCACCAAUCUACCCAAUAUGAUAGAGGAACAAAAUUUCAAAGUAUGUGCAAUAGCCGCCUCCAAAUAGAGGAAAGGAGGCCAGCUUCUCAAGCAUAGUUGUGCGGUUGUUCCUGAUGAUGCACUUUUGGCUCAAGCAAGGACUUUAACUAUCUCAACAGCUCUUCUACUUAAAAAGAUUGAUGUUGUCCCCAACUAUCUAGUUAUGUGCUGAGUGUCUUUAAAGAACAUUCAUAAACUUGUUGAAUUAGGGUGAUCUGGUUUAUUCUAUUGUGAUCGACUGAUUGUCCUUUUUGCCUUUUUCCAUUGGAUAUUAGUUACCAUGUUCAACAAGCCUUAUUUCCAUGAAUCUGAAGGUGUCUGUAAGUCUGUAACUCGUGCAGAAGUUGGUGCGCGACAAUAAAGAUUUAGCAGCACUUGUAUUCUGCCUCAAUCCCUUAUCAUUUUUUUUUUACUCUCUCUUUAUGUUAUUGAAAGACCCGUGUCAUGAUAUUACAGACACACCAUACUGUAUCUUGGACGUGAGAUCAUAAUAUCAGUCCCUGAAACUUGAAAGCACUAUGGCACUGUAAGUCCUUGUAAACUUUUCACUUCAACUGCCUGGUGAGUGGUGACUGAGGGAUACAUGUUCUGUUAUUUUAUCAAAGAGGAUAUUGUUGAUCAAGUUAUCAUGUAAAAGUAUGUAAACAUGAUUUCUGAAAUUCGUAAUUUUCUGAAUAUUAAAACAGCAGGUUUAGUUUUCAUUUGUAUUUAUGUUAGCUGUAACUUGUGUUUCUGAGUAAGGAGAAGGCUCACCGAAGAGGGCGGGUUGAAAGAAACCCCUCCUAGAAUGAAACUCGACUUCUGACCUCACGCGUGCAAGUCGGAGAGCAAACCUCUUUAUCUCAUUGCAUUUGCUGGAAUUGGAUGGAUCAUUAACUCAUUAAGGUCUUGUUCAUAUGAGGGAGGCUGAAUUGACGUGAAAAGGGAGAGGGUAAUGUUGUCAUUGAUGUUAGCAUUGUCAAGAUAUUUUUAAGGUUCACAACAAGUUCAAUUUCCACAAUGUGUGGACAAUUUGAAUGCUAUUAUUGCAUGUUAUAUUGUUGAGUAUAUUGGGCCCCAAACUAUAA